ACGCUCGACACCUACUGGAGGCAGCAGUGGGGAAUAUUGGGCAAUGGGCGCAAGCCUGACCCAGCAACGCCGCGUGAAGGAAGAAGGCUUUCGGGUUGUAAACUUCUUUUCUCAGGGACGAAGGAAGUGACGGUACCUGAGGAACAAGCCACGGCUAACUACGUGCAAGCAGCCGCGGUAAUCUGAGCGGGCUGGCAAGGC
rnacentral:rRNA from 1 species